rnacentral:rRNA from 1 species
UACGUAGGGUGCGAGCGUUGUCCGGAAUUAUUGGGCGUAAAGAGCUCGUAGGUGGCGGGUCACGUCGGGUGUGAAAGCCCGGGGCUUAACUCCGGGUCUGCAUUCGAUACGGGUCUGCUGGGGUCCGGCAGGGGAGACUGGGAAUUCCUGGUGUAGCGGUGAAAUGACGCAGAUAUCAGGAGGAACACCGGUGGCGAAGGCGGGUCUCUGGGCCGGUACCGACGCUGGAGGAGCGAAAGCGUGGGGAGCGAACAGG